rnacentral:lncRNA from 1 species
UUUAGUUGUGUUUGUUUUCUUCUUUGUAGAGAGUAUUUGUAAGAGAGUUGUGUUGGAAAAUACUUUGAGUGAACCUCUUCUUUGGAGUGAUCUUUGUGAGGUUAUUCUUUUGGGUAUUUGGGCUAUUAGAGUAUUUAAUUACUCUAAUUUUGUACUCUCUUUUGUAUCUUUGUACUCUUUUUUUGUUCCGUUGAUGUUUAGUGAAGUUGCUUCUCUUUUGGUUGUGGACGUAGGUCAAGUUGACCGAACCACGUUAAAUUUGUGCCUCCUAUAUUUUCUCAACUUAUCAUUAUUAUCGUCUUCAAACGAUUACUUUGUUUAAUUUCACACUAUCCGGGAUUCUCAAUCCUAACAGUUAUGUUAUUCUUGAAGCAAUUCAGAGCAAUGAACAGGAUUAAGAAACUCACUCUUAAGGUCCCAAAAUGACCACUUAUGGGCUAUAAUGUUUACUUCCUUCGUUUUCGUUUUGUGUGAUACAAUUUCUUUCUCUUGCUGAAAUAUGCAAAUUGAUUGAAGGUUAUUGCGGAAAAUUUAUCAGACGAGAAAUUGAGGGACUAAAGCAAAUCUUCAACAAUAUGGAUACUGAUGAAAACAGUACAAUCACGCAUGAAGAAAACUAUCAUAAAUUUAUUGCACUGACUUUUUCAUAACAAUGAAGUGAAUGUGUUCGAGAGUAACUGUUAUUCUAUUGGCAGCAUAUUUAAUUUAUCUUACCAUUUAUUCCAUUGAAUAUAAAGUUUUACGACUCUGAAUGACGUUUAUUCAUUUCUCAUUAAUCUAUAGGUAUCAAGAAUCAAGCAAGAACGAUGAUGAGGACAAAGAAAAUUGAUGCCAAAAUACUUCUGCAUAUACACG